rnacentral:rRNA from 1 species
AUGGAGACAGUUGGAAAGGUGAAGCACCCAAACCUUGUUCCCCUGCUUGGUUACUGUGUUUGUGGCGACGAGCGGUUCCUGAUCUAUGAGUACAUGGAGAAUGGGAGUCUGGAGAUAUGGCUGAGGAACCGAGCAGAUGCAGUAGAAGCACUUGGAUGGCCUGACCGUCUGAAGAUCUGCCUCGGUUCUGCCCAUGGGCUUGCUUUCCUUCAUGAAGGAUUUGUGCCUCAUAUCAUCCACCGGGACAUGAAAUCAAGCAACAUCCUGCUGGACGUGAACUUCGAGCCGAGGGUCUCUGACUUUGGCCUCGCAAGGAUAAUCAGCGCGUGCGAGACUCAUGUCAGCACCGACAUCGCCGGUACAUUUGGAUACAUCCCCCCAGAGUACGGGCAGACAAUGAAGUCCAGCACGAAAGGCGACGUGUACAGCUUUGGCGUUGGCGUCGUCAUGCUGGAGCUGCUUACAGGACGGCCACCUACAGGGCAAGAAGACUUGGAAGGUGGUGGGAACCUUGUCGGCUGGGUACGAUGGGUGAUCGCUCGCGGGACGAGGAACGAGCUGUUUGAUCCUUGCCUGCCAGUCUCAGGCGUGUGGCGGGAGCAGAUGGUGCGCGUGCUCGGCAUGGCCCUGGACUGCACGGCCAGCCGUGGAAGAGGCCAAGCAUGGUGGAGGUGGUCCAGGGGCGCAUAG